rnacentral:rRNA from 1 species
AUUGAACGCUGGCGGCAUGCCUUACACAUGCAAGUCGAACGGUAACAGGUCUUCGGAUGCUGACGAGUGGCGAACGGGUGAGUAAUACAUCGGAACGUGCCCGAUCGUGGGGGAUAACGGAGCAAAAGCUUUGCUAAUACCGCAUACGAUCUACGGAUGAAAGCAGGGGACCGCAAGGCCUUGCGCGGACGGAGCGGCCGAUGGCAGAUUAGGGAGUUGGUGGGAUAAAAGCUUACCAAGCCGACGAUCUGUAGCUGGUCUGAGAGGACGACCAGCCACACUGGGACGGAGACACGGCCCAGACUCCUACGGGAGGCAGCAGUGGGGAAUUUUGGACAAGGGGCGCAAGCCUGAUCCAGCCAUGCCGCGUGCAGGAUGAAGGCCUUCGGGUUGUAAACUGCUUUUGUACGGAACGAAAAGACUCUGGUUAAUACCUGGGGUCCAUGACGGUACCGUAAGAAUAAGCACCGGCUAACUACGUGCCAGCCGCCGCCGUAAUAC